AAAAUCCGUCGAAUAAAAAU
rnacentral:tRNA from 1 species